GACGAACGCUGGCGGCGUGCCUAAUACAUGCAAGUCGAGCGCUGAAGGUUGGUACUUGUGCCGACUGGAUGAGCAGCGAACGGGUGAGUAACGCGUGGGGAAUCUGCCUUUGAGCGGGGGACAACAUUUGGAAACGAAUGCUAAUACCGCAUAAAAACUUUAAACACAAGGUUUAGGAAUGAAAUAUGCAAUUGCAUUACUCAAGGAGGAUCCCGCGUUGUAUUAGCUAGUUGGUGAGGUAAAGGCUCACCAAGGCGAUGUUACAGAGCCGACCUGAGAGGGUGGUCGGCCAGCUUGGGAGUGAGACACGGCCCAAACUCCUAGGGGAGGCAGCAGUAGGGCAUCUGCGGCCAGAGGCGAGAGUCUGACCGAGCAACGCCGCGUGCGUGAAGAAGGUUGUCGGAUCGUAAAACUCUGUUGGUAGGGAAGAACGUUGGUGAGAGUGGAAAGAUCAUCAGGUGACGGUAACUACCCAGAAAGCGACGGCUAACUACGUG
rnacentral:rRNA from 1 species